UAGCAAUAGCAAUAAUAAUGCUUCACUACAUGAAGUCAAAGCAGGUGCAGUUAAUAACCAAAGCAGGCCACAAAGCCACAGCAGUGGAGAAUUUAGCCUGCUUCAUGACCAUGAGGCUUGGUCCAGCAGUGGUAGCAGUCCAAUCCAGUACUUGAAAAGACAGACCAGAUCAAGCCCAGUGCUCCAGCACAAAAUAUCUGAAACACUGGAGAGUCGACAUCACAAGAUCAAAACUGGUUCCCCUGGAAGUGAAGUUGUUACUCUACAACAGUUUUUGGAAGAAAGCAAUAAGCUUACCUCAGUACAGAUAAAGUCCUCAAGUCAAGAGAAUCUUUUAGAUGAAGUAAUGAAAAGUUUGUCUGUCUCUUCUGACUUUUUGGGAAAAGACAAACCAGUUAGCUGUGGUCUGGCCAGCGUGAUCUCAACUGCCGAAGGAACUACACGAAGGACAAGCAUCCAUGAUUUUUUGACCAAGGACAGUAGACUGCCUAUAUCAGUUGAUUCACCACCAGCUGCUGCUGACAGCAACACCACUGCAGCAUCUAAUGUGGACAAAGUACAAGAAAGCAGAAAUUCAAAAAGCAGGUCUAGGGAGCAACAAAGCUCCUAAUUCUAUUACCCACUACAUGACAUGUGGGCCAAGUGCUACACUUAGUCCUGAGAUGUAUUUUUUCUUUAAGUCUUGAAUGAAUACAAAAGGAGCCCAUUUUAUAAUAUAAACCUUGAUGUACAUGUUGAGAUAUUUGGACAAUGAAAAUGCCUUAAAAGGAAUGCAUAUGGAUAAAGUUGCACUUAUAACACCCUUCAACAAAAUCUAAUUUUAAAUUGUCUUUUUCUUUUCUAUUAAGGGUUUUCUUUUUCAGUGUCUACCAUUGUACUUAUAACUGUUAUUAAAUACCAAAUCAAAUAAU
rnacentral:lncRNA from 1 species